UACGUAGGGACCAAGCGUUGUUCGGAUUUACUGGGCGUAAAGGGCGCGUAGGCGGCAAUUCAAGUCAUCUGUGAAAUCUCCGGGCUUAACUCGGAACGGUCAGGUGAUGCUGCUUUGCUAGAGUGCAGAAGGGGCAAUCGGAAUUCUUGGUGUAGCGGUGAAAUGCGUAGAUAUCAAGAGGAACACCUGAGGUGAAGACGGGUUGCUGGGCUGACACUGACGCUGAGGCGCGAAAGCUAGGGGAGCAAACGGG
rnacentral:rRNA from 1 species